GAGGCAGAGGCAGAUAACCCUAGACAAUUGUCAGCCAAUCAGGAUCCUGAACGCUGGAAAUCCCCUCACACCAGCCUCUGCUAUGAUAAAAACCCUACCCGGCCUGGGCUCAGGGCUCUCUGCUCUCACCAAUGUGUCGGACAGAGACCAAGCUUGGAGCUUUAGAGAAUAAAGGCUCUUUGCUUUUACA